UACGAAGGGGGCUAGCGUUGCUCGGAAUCACUGGGCGUAAAGGGUGCGUAGGCGGGUCUUUUAAGUCAGGGGUGAAAUCCUGGAGCUCAACUCCAGAACUGCCUUUGAUACUGAGGAUCUUGAGUUCGGGAGAGGUGAGUGGAACUGCGAGUGUAGAGGUGAAAUUCGUAGAUAUUCGCAAGAACACCAGUGGCGAAGGCGGCUCACUGGGACGGUAUUGACGCUGAGGCACGAAAGCGUGGGGAGCAAACAGGG
rnacentral:rRNA from 1 species